rnacentral:rRNA from 1 species
UGCCGGACCUGACUGCUAUCGGAUUGAUACUAAGCCAUGCGAGUCAUUGUAGCAAUACAAGGCAUACGGCUCAGUAACGCGUAGUCAACCUAACCUAUGGACGGGAAUAACCUCGGGAAACUGAGAAUAAUGCCCGGUAGAACAUUAUGCCUGGAAUGGUUUAUGUUCCAAAUGAUUUAUCGCCGUAGGAUGGGACUGCGGCCUAUCAGUUUGUUGGUGAGGUAAUGGCCCACCAAGACUAUUACAGGUACGGGCUCUGAGAGGAGUAGCCCGGAGAUGGGUACUGAGACACGGACCCAGGCCCUAUGGGGCGCAGCAGGCGAGAAAACUUUGCAAUGUGCGAAAGCACGACAAGGUUAAUCCGAGUGAUUUCUGCUAAAGAAAUCUUUUGUUAGUCCUAGAAACACUAACGAAUAAGGGGUGGGCAAGUUCUGGUGUCAGCA